CCCCAUGCUGCCGCCCUUGUGAUUACGCGUCCAAUUCUGCCAUCACCAGGAUGUGUGGCUCCCAUAUGAUGCAGACCAGUGUCAGGCCUGGUUGAAGCACGCAGACCAGUGUCAGGCCUGGUUGAAGCACGCAGACCAGUGUCAGGCCUGGAUGAAGCACGCAGACCAGUGUCAGGCCUGGAUGAAACGUUGCCCUCAGAUUAUUUCCGAGAUGUUUGGCUAAUGAAACAUUGUGAUGUGGAUCAGAACCUGCGGCCGGAUCCACGAGAUGAUAAAAUGUAGAUGUGUGGUAAUCAAACCCUUUUCCCUCCCAGCUGAGGAACAGCAGCAUUGUUUUCAUGUUUUGCAGCUUCUCUAUUUUUGCUUUGAUUCAAAUAAACCUACGUUGUGAUUUUAUUGUAUUUCAUAACUGUCCA
ensembl:lncRNA